AAAAGCUAUGACCAUACAAUCUUUUAAUUGUUGUUCAGUGUAAAAGAGUUCAAUAUAGAGUAUUAUACAGCAAAAUUGUUUUACUUCUACUCAAAUAAAUAGAGGCAAAGGUUUCUACAAUGCCAAAAAAAGGAUUGCUCAUUGUUAGUCAAAAUUCUAUCAACAUUCUAUUCUAACAGCACCACUUUGAGAUGAAAUAAAUUUGGGUUUUCUAUUGACUUGCUCCAAG
rnacentral:misc_RNA from 1 species